rnacentral:rRNA from 1 species
UGGGGAAUCUUGCGCAAUGGGCGAAAGCCUGACGCAGCGACGCCGCGUGAGGGAAGAAGGCCUUCGGGUUGUAAACCUCUUUCAGGAGGGACGAAGCCACUCGGGUGAACAGCCCAGAGGGUGACGGUACCUCCAGAAGAAGCCCCGGCUAACUACGUGCCAGCAGCCGCGGUAAUACGUAGGGGGCGAGCGUUGUCCGGAUUUACUGGGCGUAAAGAGCGGGGAGGGGGCCAUGGCGGUCCGUUGUGA